rnacentral:rRNA from 1 species
GACGAACGCUGGCGGCGCGCCUAACACAUGCAAGUCGAACGAGCGAGCGAGAGCUUGCUUUCUCAAGCGAGUGGCGAACGGGUGAGUAACGCGUGAGGAACCUGCCUCAAAGAGGGGGACAACAGUUGGAAACGACUGCUAAUACCGCAUAAGCCCACGACCCGGCAUCGGGUAGAGGGAAAAGGAGCAAUCCGCUUUGAGGUGGCCUCGCGUCCGAUUAGCCGGAUGGUGAGGUAACGGCCCACCAAGGCGACGACCGGUAGCCGGACUGGGAGGUUGAACGGCAACAUUGGGAGUGGGACACGGCCCAGACUCCUACGGGAGGCAGCAGUGGGGAAUAAUGCACAAUGGGGGAAACCCUGAUGCAGCGACGCCGCGUGGAGGAAGAAGGUCGUCGGAUUGUAAACUCCUGUUGUUGAGGAAGAUAAGGACGGUACUCAACAAGGAAGUAACGGCUAACUACGU